rnacentral:tRNA from 1 species
GCCAAUGUAGCUCAGUCGGUAGAGCAAUUCACUCGUAAUGAAUAGGUCAUCGGUUCGAUUCCGAUCAUUGGCU